UGCAGUCGAGCGGAACGAGAAGGUGCUUGCACCUUCGGCGUCGAGCGGCGGACGGGUGAGUAAUGCAUAGGAAGUUGCCCAGUAGAGGGGGAUACCAGUUGGAAACGACUGUUAAUACCGCAUAAUCUCUUUGGAGCAAAGCGGGGGACCUUCGGGCCUCGCGCUACUGGAUACGCCUAUGUGGGAUUAGCUAGUUGGUGAGGUAAUGGCUCACCAAGGCGACGAUCCCUAGCUGGUCUGAGAGGAUGAUCAGCCACACUGGGACUGAGACACGGCCCAGACUCCUACGGGAGGCAGCAGUGGGGAAUAUUGCACAAUGGGCGAAAGCCUGAUGCAGCCAUGCCGCGUGUAUGAAGAAGGCCUUCGGGUUGUAAAGUACUUUCAGUUGUGAGGAAGGGUGUGUAGUUAAUAACUGCAUAUUUUGACGUUAGCAACAGAAGAAGCACCGGCUAACUCCGUGCCAGCAGCCGCGGUAAUACGGAGGGUGCGAGCGUUAAUCGGAAUUACUGGGCGUAAAGCGCAUGCAGGUGGUUUGUUAAGUCAGAUGUGAAAGCCCGGGGCUCAACCUCGGAAGGUCAUUUGAAACUGGCAAACUAGAGUACUGUAGAGGGGGGUAGAAUUUCAGGUGUAGCGGUGAAAUGCGUAGAGAUCUGAAGGAAUACCAGUGGCGAAGGCGGCCCCCUGGACAGAUACUGACACUCAGAUGCGAAAGCGUGGGGAGCAAACAGGAUUAGAUACCCUGGUAGUCCACGCCGUAAACGAUGUCUACUUGGAGGUUGUGGCCUUGAGCCGUGGCUUUCGGAGCUAACGCGUUAAGUAGACCGCCUGGGGAGUACGGUCGCAAGAUUAAAACUCAAAUGAAUUGACGGGGGCCCGCACAAGCGGUGGAGCAUGUGGUUUAAUUCGAUGCAACGCGAAGAACCUUACCUACUCU
rnacentral:rRNA from 2 species